rnacentral:rRNA from 1 species
AGGAGGCAGCAGUAGGGAAUCUUCCGCAAUGGACGAAAGUCUGACGGAGCAACGCCGCGUGAGGGAUGAAGGCCUUCGGGUUGUAAACCUCUGUCUUCAGGGAAGAAAAAAAUGACGGUACCUGAGGAGGAAGCCCCGGCUAACUACGUGCCAGCAGCCGCGGUAAUACGUAGGGGGCGAGCGUUAUCCGGAAUUAUUGGGCGUAAAGGGCGCGUAGGCGGAUAUUUAAGUCAGAUGUGAAAACCCGGGGCUCAACCGCGGGAUUGCAUCUGAUACUGGGUAUCUUGAGGACAGGAGAGGAAAGUGGAAUUCCUAGUGUAGCGGUGAAAUGCGUAGAUAUUAGGAGGAACACCAGUGGCGAAGGCGACUUUCUGGACUGUAACUGACGCUGAGGCGCGAAAGCGUGGGGAGCAAACAGGAUUAGAUACCCCGGUAGUCCU